UACGGAGGGGGCGAGCGUUAUUCAGAAUUAUUGGGCGUAAAGGGCGCGUAGGCGGCUUGACAAGUCAAAGGUGAAAUCCCUCGGCUCAACUGAGGAACUGCCUUUGAAACUGUGAGACUUGAGGACGAGAGAGGUGAGUGGAAUUCCCAGUGUAGAGGUGAAAUUCGUAGAUAUUGGGAAGAACACCGGUGGCGAAGGCGGCUCACUGGCUCGUAUCUGACGCUCAGGCGCGACAGCGUGGGGAUCAAACAGG
rnacentral:rRNA from 1 species